rnacentral:rRNA from 1 species
CCUAACACAUGCAAGUCGAACGGUAACAGGAAACAGCUUGCUGUUUCGCUGACGAGUGGCGGACGGGUGAGUAAUGUCUGGGAAACUGCCUGAUGGAGGGGGAUAACUACUGGAAACGGUAGCUAAUACCGCAUAACGUCGCAAGACCAAAGAGGGGGACCUUCGGGCCUCUUGCCAUCGGAUGUGCCCAGAUGGGAUUAGCUAGUAGGUGGGGUAACGGCUCACCUAGGCGACGAUCCCUAGCUGGUCUGAGAGGAUGACCAGCCACACUGGAACUGAGACACGGUCCAGACUCCUACGGGAGGCAGCAGUGGGGAAUAUUGCACAAUGGGCGCAAGCCUGAUGCAGCCAUGCCGCGUGUAUGAAGAAGGCCUUCGGGUUGUAAUA